GCGGGACUGGCGGAAUUGGUAGACGCGCUAGAUUCAGAUUCUAGUGUUUGUAAAAACUUUCGGGUUCAAGUCCCGAGUUCCGCA
rnacentral:tRNA from 2 species